UACAGAGGGUGCAAGCGUUAUUCGGAAUUAUUGGGCAUAAAGCGUAUGUAGGUGGUUUAGUAAGUCUGAUGUGAAAUCCCCGGACUCAAUUCGGGAAGUGCAUUGGAUACUGCUAGGCUUGAGUAUGGGAGAGGUGAGCGGAAUUCCAGGUGUAGAGGUGAAAUUCGUAGAUAUCUGGAGGAACAACAGAGGCGAAGGCGGCUCACUGGACCAUAACUGACACUGAGAUACGAAAGCGUGGGGAGCAAACAGG
rnacentral:rRNA from 1 species